rnacentral:rRNA from 1 species
CACGUAGGGCGCAAGCGUUGUCCGGAAUUAUUGGGCGUAAAGAGCUCGUAGGUGGUUUGUUACGUCUGCUGUGAAAACCUAGGGCUUAACCCUGGGCUUGCAGUGGAUACGGGCAGACUAGAGGUAGGUAGGGGAGAAUGGAAUUCCUGGUGUAGCGGUGAAAUGCGCAGAUAUCAGGAGGAACGCCGGUGGCGAAGGCGGUUCUCUGGGCCUUACCUGACACUGAGGAGCGAAAGCGUGGGGAGCAAACAGG